rnacentral:tRNA from 11 species
AGUCGAGAGGCGGAGGUUGCGUUCGAACCACGGACCUCCAGUUCAGUAAAUUCGCGCUCUAGCCACUGAGCAAUCUCGCC